CAACUCGCCUCUCUGUUCUUCCACGCAGCACCAGACGCACGACUCUCCUCUGUCUUCUCUGUGCCGCCUCCUCGCCGAGCUGCGCGCUGCCAACCGCGCCGGUGAACUCGCCCGGUCCGGCGCACUGCUCGUCUCGGCUCCUUUGGAAAUCCUUCGCGAACGUCUCGUCAAGUUGUCAGGCCUGUCUUCGAGUUUGGUGGAGUCCCAAGCUUGCGCGCCGUCGGCCUCUACCUCCUGUGUCCGAUCGUCGUCGCCCCUGCUCACUUCAUCCAACUGCUCCCUUCAUCUCGGCCGAGCUCGACGUCCAGCAAGCCGCCUGCUCGUGUUCCAUCUCUUCAACCAUCAGCUUCCGUGGAACACACUGGUAGGGGUUCUAAUCCCUGAAAUUGAUGUGGGGUGUGUGUUUAAGCGUGUAUGGGGGUGCUCUCUGUGCAUCGGAUUAGAGGUUAGAUGGUUGCCGAUAGCUGUUGUCGUCUGGAUUUGGCCGGCGGGGAAAAGGGAUCACCCUGUGCAUCACGUUGAAGAAGAAGGGGCUCUUUG
rnacentral:misc_RNA from 1 species